rnacentral:rRNA from 1 species
CCUACGGGCGGCAGCAGUGAGGAAUAUUGGUCAAUGGUCGGGAGACUGAACCAGCCAAGCCGCGUGAGGGAGGAAGGUACAGAGUAUCGUAAACCUCUUUUGUCAGGGAACAAAGGCGGGGACGUGUCCCCGGAUGAGUGUACCUGAAGAAAAAGCAUCGGCUAACUCCGUGCCAGCAGCCGCGGUAAUACGGAGGAUGCGAGCGUUAUCCGGAUUUAUUGGGUUUAAAGGGUGCGCAGGCGGUCUGUUAAGUCAGCGGUCAAAGCCCGGGGCUCAACCCCGGCCCGCCGUUGAAACUGGCAGUCGCGAGUUGGAGAGAAGUAUGCGGAAUGCGCGGUGUAGCGGUGAAAUGCAUAGAUAUCGCGCAGAACUCCGAUUGCGAAGGCAGCAUGCCGGCUCCACACGGACGCUGAGGCACGAAAGCGUGGGUAUCGAACAGGAUUAGAUACCCGGGUAGUC